ACUUAGACUGACUUAGACUUAGGAGAG
rnacentral:piRNA from 1 species